rnacentral:rRNA from 1 species
AUGGCGACCGGCGCACGGGUGAGUAACACGUAUCCAACCUGCCGAUAACUCGGGGAUAGCCUUUCGAAAGAAAGAUUAAUACCCGAUGGCAUAAUAGAACCGCAUGGUUUGAUUAUUAAAGAAUUUCGGUUAUCGAUGGGGAUGCGUUCCAUUAGGCAGUUGGUGGGGUAACGGCCCACCAAACCUUCGAUGGAUAGGGGUUCUGAGAGGAAGGUCCCCCACAUUGGAACUGAGACACGGUCCAAACUCCUACGGGAGGCAGCAUG